rnacentral:rRNA from 1 species
CUAAGAAUAUUCCGCAAUGGACGGAAGUCUGACGGAGCGACGCCGCGUGGAUGACGAAGGCCGAAAGGUUGUAAAGUUCUUUUGCUGGGGAAGAAUAACCGCAGGAGGGAAUGCCUGUGGGAUGACAAGAACCGGCGAAUAAGCCCCGGCCAACUACGUGCCAGCAGCCGCGGUAACACGUAGGGGGCGAGCGUUGUUCGGAAUUACUGGGCGUAAAGGGCAUGUAGGCGGCUUGGAAAGCCUGGCGUGAAAGUCUGCAGCUUAACUGCAGGGGUGCGCUGGGAACUGCUGAGCUUGAGUGACGGAGAGGGAGCUGGAAUUCCUGGUGUAGGGGUGAAAUCUGUAGAUAUCAGGAAGAACACCGAUGGCGAAGGCAAGCUCCUGGCCGAUGACUGACGCUGAGGUGCGAAAGUGUGGGGCAUCAAACAGGAUUAGAUACCCUGGUAGUCCACACAGUCAACGAUGUGCACUAGGUGCUGGGGCGGUAGCUUCGGUGCCGGAGCGAACGUGGU